rnacentral:rRNA from 1 species
UAAUACAGAGGGUGCAAGCGUUAAUCGGAGUUACUGGGCGUAAAGGGCGCGUAGGCGGUCAUGCAAGUGAGAUGUGAAAUCCCCGGGCUUAACCUGGGAACUGCAUUUUAGACUGUGUGACUGGAGUACUGUAGAGGAUAGUGGAAUUUCCGGUGUAGCGGUGAAAUGCGUAGAGAUCGGAAGGAACACCAGUGGCGAAGGCGACUGUCUGGACAGAUACUGACGCUGAGGCGCGAAAGCGUGGGGAGCAAACAGGAUUAGAUACCCUGGUAGUCCACGCUGUAAACGAUGAGAACUGGAUGUUGGCAGGCCUGGCCUGUCAGUAUCGAAGCUAACGCGAUAAGUUCUCCGCCUGGGGAGUACGGCCGCAAGGUUA